AUUCUUAAGACCAAAGAGUCAGGUGGAAAAGGGGGGAAAGCUCUCCGCUCCUGGUUCUCCUAUAGCUGGAUCCUUCGGAACCAUAAGAAUCCUUAGUUAGAAUGGGAUUCCAACUCAACACCCUUUGAAAUUUUGAGAAGAGUUGCUUUUUGGAGAGCACUGUACGAUGAAAGUUGUAAGCUGUGUUCAGGGGGGAGUUAUUGUCUAUUGCUGGCUUCUAUGGUAGGAUAAGCUAGAAGGCCGGAGAUGCGAUGGUUUACCCUGUGGCGGAUGUCAGCUGUUCGAGUUCGCUUAUCUCUAACUCGUGAACUUAGCCGAUACAAAGCUAUAUGAUAGCACCCAAUUUUUUGGAUUUGGCAGUUCGAACUAUGAUUUCUCAUUCAUGGACUUUAAUAAGAUCCUUCCAUUUAGCAGCACCUUAUGAUGGCAUAGCCUUAAAGUGAAUGGUGAGGUUCAAACGAGGAAAUGCUUACGGUGGAUACCUAGGCACCCAGAGGUGAGGGAGGGUGAAAAGAACCCCCAUCGGGGAGUGAGAUAGAAUAUGAAAUCGUAAGCUCCUAAGUAGUGGAAGGAGACUACUAGGACUUUGACCGCGUGCCUGUUGAAGAAUGAGUUGGCGACUCAUAGGCAGUGGCUUGGUUAAGGGAACCCAUCGGAACUGUAGCGAAAGCAAGUCUUCAUAAGGCAAUUGUCACUGCUUAUGGACCUGAACUUGGGUGAUCUAUCCAUGACUAGGAUGAAGCUUGGGUGAAACUAAGUGGAGGUUUGAACCGACUGAUGUUGAAGAAUUAGCGGACGAGUUGUGGUUAAGGGUGAAAUGCCACUCGAACCCAGAGCUAGCUGAUUCUUCUCGAAAUGCAUUGAGGCGUAGCAGUUGACUGGACAUCUAGGGGUAAAGCACUAUUUCGGUAUGGGCUAUAAAAGCGGUACUAAAUCGAGGCAAACUAUGAAUACUAGAUAUGACCUCCAAAUAAUAGGGGUCAAGGUCAGCUAGUGAGAUGAUGGGAGAUAAGCUUCAUCGUCGAGAGGGAAACAGCCCGGAUCACCAGCUACGGCCCCUAAAUGACUGCUUUGUGAUAAAGGAGGUAGGGGUGCAGAGGUAGCUAGGAGGUUUGUGUAGAAACAGCCACCCUUGAAAAAGUGCGUAAUAGCUCACUGAUUAAUCGCUCUUGCGUCAAAGAUGAGCAGGAUUAAGCGAUUUGCCGAAGCUGUGGGAUGUCAAAAUAUAUUGGUAGGGGAGCAUUUCACCUUAGAGGAAAGCACCCAUGAGCAAGGGUGGACGAAGCGGAAGCGAGAAUGUCAGCUUGAGUAACGCAAACAUUGGUGAGAAUCCAAUGCCUCGAAAACCUAAGGGUUCCUCCGCAAGAUUCGUCCAUAGAGGGUGAGUCAGGGCCUAAGAUCAAGCCGAAAGGCGUAGUCGAUGUACAAUAGGUGAAUAUUCCUACACUAUCCCUUAUUGGUCCCAAGGGACAAAGAAGGCUAUGUUAGCCGAAAGAUGGUUAUCGGUUCAAGGACGCAAGGUGUCCCUGCUUUUUCAAGGUAAGAAGGGUUAGAAAAAAUGCCCCGAGCCAAUGUUCGAGUACUAGGCAUUACGACGCUAAAGUAACCCAUGCCAUACUCUCAGGAAAAGCUUGAAUGACCUUCAACAAAAGGGUACUUGUACCUGAAAUCGACAUAGAUGGGUAGAUAGAGAAUACCUAGGGGCGUGAGACAACUCUCUCUAAGGAACUCGGCAAAAUAGCCCCGUAACUUCAGAAGAAAGGGUGCCUCCUCACAAGAGGGGUCGAAGUGACCAGGCCCGGGUGACUGUUUACCAAAAACACAGGUCUCCACAAAGUCGUAAGACCAUGUAUAGGGGUUGACGCCUGCCCAGUGCCGAAAGGUUAAGGAAGUUGUUGACCUGAUGACAGGGGAGCCGACGACCGAAGCCCCGGUGAACGGCGGCUAUAACUAUAAUGGUCCUAAAGUAGUGAAAUUCCUUGUCGGGUAAGUUCCGACCCGCACGAAAGGCGUAACGAUUUGAGCACUGUCUCAGAGAGAAACUCGGUGAAAUAGACAUGUAUGUAAAGAUGCGGACUACCUACACCUGGAUAGAAAGACCCUAUGAAGAUUUACUAUUCCCUGGGAUUGGCUUUAGGCCUUUCUUGCACAGCUUAGGUGGAACGCGAAGAAGGCCUCCUUCCGGGGGGGCCCGAGCCAUUAAUGAGAUACCACUCUAAAAGAGCUAGAAUUCUAACCUUGUGUCAAGACCUACGAGCCAAGGGACGGUCUCAAGUAGACAGUUUCUAUGGGCGUAGGCUUCCCAAAAGGUAGCGGAGGCAUGCAAAGGUUUCCUCGAGCCUGACAGAGAUUGACCCUUGAGUGCAAAGGCAGAAGGGAGCUUGACUGCAAGACUCACCCGUCGAGCAGGGACGAAAGUUGGCCUUAGUGAUCCGAUGGUGUCGAGUGGAAAGGCCGUCGCUCCACGGAUAAAAGUUACUCUAGGGAUAGCCGGUUGAUCUUCCCCAAGAGUUCACAUCAACGAGAAGGUUUGGCACCUCUAUGUCGGCUCUUCGCCACCUGGGGCUGUAGUAUGUUCCAAGGGUUGGGCUGUUCGCCCAAUAAAGCGAUAUGUAAGUUGGCUUUAGAAUGUCGUGAGACAGUUUGGUCCAUAUCUGGUGUGGGCGUUAGAGCAUUGAGAGGACCUUUCCCUAGUACAAGAGGACCGAGAAGGACGCACCUUUGGUGUACCAGUUAUCGUGCCCAUGGUAAACGCUGGGUAGCCAAGUGCAAAGCAAAUACCUGCUGAAAGCAUCUAAAUGGUAAGCUCACCCCAAGAUGAGUGCUUUCCUAUUCUGACUUCCCCGGAGCCUCUGGUAGCGUAGUCGAGACAACGACGGGUUCUUUACCCCUGCAGGGAUAGAGUGACAGAAGUUUUGAGAAUUCAAGAGAAGGUCUUAGUGAGACGAGCUGUUUAUCAUUAUGAUAGGUGUCAAGUGGAAGUGCAGUGAUGUAUGCAACUGAGGCAUCCUAACAGACUGGUAGACUUGAAC
rnacentral:rRNA from 1 species